rnacentral:rRNA from 1 species
CACGUAGGGUGCGAGCGUUGUCCGGAAUUAUUGGGCGUAAAGAGCUCGUAGGCGGUGUGUCGCGUCGGCCGUGAAAACCUGCAGCUUAACUGUGGGCUUGCGGUCGAUACGGGCAUCACUGGAGUUCGGUAGGGGAGACUGGAAUUCCUGGUGUAGCGGUGAAAUGCGCAGAUAUCAGGAGGAACACCGGUGGCGAAGGCGGGUCACUGGGCCGCAACUGACGCUGAGGAGCGAAAGCAUGGGGAGCGAACAGG